GAUGAACGCUAGCUACAGGCUUAACACAUGCAAGUCGAGGGGUAGCAGGGUAGCAAUACCGCUGACGACCGGCGCACGGGUGAGUAACACGUAUCCAACCUUCCCAUAACUCGGGGAUAGCCUUUCGAAAGAAAGAUUAAUACCCGAUAGUACUUUAUUAAGGCAUCUUAAGAAAGUUAAGGAUUUAUUGGUUAUGGAUGGGGAUGCGUUCCAUUAGAUAGUUGGUGAGGUAACGGCUCACCAAGUCUUCGAUGGAUAGGGGUUCUGAGAGGAAGGUCCCCCACAUUGGUACUGAGACACGGACCAAACUCCUACGGGAGGCAGCAGUGAGGAAUAUUGGUCAACGGGCGAGAGCCUGAACCAGCCAAGUAGCGUGAAGGAUGAAGGUCCUAUGGAUUGUAAACUUCUUUUAUAGUAGAAUAAAGUGAACCACGUGUGGUUUUUUGUAUGUAUACUAUGAAUAAGGAUCGGCUAACUUCGUGCCAGCCGCCGCGGUAA
rnacentral:rRNA from 1 species